rnacentral:rRNA from 1 species
GUGGGGAAUCUUCCGCAAUGGACGAAAGUCUGACGGAGCAACGCCGCGUGAACGAUGACGGCCUUCGGGUUGUAAAGUUCUGUUAUACGGGACGAAUGGUACGACGGUCAAUACCCGUCGUAAGUGACGGUACCGUAAGAGAAAGCCACGGCUAACUACGUGCCAGCAGCCGCGGUAAUACGUAGGUGGCAAGCGUUGUCCGGAAUUAUUGGGCGUAAAGGGCGCGCAGGUGGCGUCGUAAGUCGGUCUUAAAAGUGCGGGGCUUAACCCCGUGAGGGGACCGAAACUGCGAUGCUAGAGUAUCGGAGAGGAAAGCGGAAUUCCUAGUGUAGCGGUGAAAUGCGUAGAUAUUAGGAGGAACACCAGUGGCGAAAGCGGCUUUCUGGACGACAACUGACGCUGAGGCGCGAAAGCCAGGGGAGCAAACGGGAUUAGAAACCCGAGUAGUCC